UGCUAGCUUGCUAAUAAUUCUCUAGUGGCGCACGGGUGAGUAACACGUGAGUAACCUGCCCCCAAGAGUGGGAUAGCCCCGGGAAACUGGGAUUAAUACCGCAUAAAAUCGCAAGAUUAAAGCAGCAAUGCGCUUGGGGAUGGGCUCGCGUCCUAUUAGUUAGUUGGUGAGGUAACGGCUCACCAAGGCGAUGACGGGUAGCCGGUCUGAGAGGAUGUCCGGCCACACUGGAACUGAGACACGGUCCAGACACCUACGGGUGGCAGCAGUCGAGAAUCAUUCACAAUGGGGGAAACCCUGAUGGUGCGACGCCGCGUGGGGGAAUGAAGGUCUUCGGAUUGUAAACCCCUGUCAUGUGGGAGCAAAUUAAAAAGAUAGUACCACAAGAGGAAGAGACGGCUAACUCUGUGCCAGCAGCCGCGGUAAUACAGAGGUCUCAAGCGUUGUUCGGAAUCACUGGGCGUAAAGCGUGCGUAGGCGGUUUCGUAAGUCGUGUGUGAAAGGCGGGGGCUCAACCCCCGGACUGCACAUGAUACUGCGAGACUAGAGUAAUGGAGGGGGAACCGGAAUUCUCGGUGUAGCAGUGAAAUGCGUAGAUAUCGAGAGGAACACUCGUGGCGAAGGCGGGUUCCUGGACAUUAACUGACGCUGAGGCACGAAGGCCAGGGGAGCGAAAGGGAUUAGAUACCCCUGUAGUCCUGGCA
rnacentral:rRNA from 1 species